rnacentral:rRNA from 1 species
CCGGCGACCGGCGCACGGGUGAGUAACACGUAUGGAACCUGCCCGCAGCAGGGGGAUAAGCGGAAGAAAUUCCGUCUAAUACCGCGUAACAACGUUGGGAGGCAUCUCCCGAUGUUUAAAGAUUUAUCGGCUGCGGAUGGCCAUGCGGCGCAUUAGCUAGUCGGCGGGGUAACGGCCCACCGAGGCGACGAUGCGUAGGGGUCCUGAGAGGAAGGUCCCCCACACUGGUACUGAGACACGGACCAGACUCCUACGGAAGGCAGCAG